rnacentral:rRNA from 1 species
UACGAAGGGGGCUAGCGUUGCUCGGAAUCACUGGGCGUAAAGGGUGCGUAGGCGGGUCUUUAAGUCAGGGGUGAAAUCCUGGAGCUCAACUCCAGAACUGCCUUUGAUACUGAAGAUCUUGAGUUCGGGAGAGGUGAGUGGAACUGCGAGUGUAGAGGUGAAAUUCGUAGAUAUUCGCAAGAACACCAGUGGCGAAGGCGGCUCACUGGCCCGGAACUGACGCUGAGGCGCGAAAAGCGUGGGGAGCAAACAGG